GGGGCUAUGGCGCAGUUGGUAGCGCGUGUCGUUCGCAAUGACAAGGUCGCGGGUUCGAUCCCCGCUAGCUCCA
rnacentral:tRNA from 1 species